rnacentral:tRNA from 1 species
UUAUCUGAAACCAAAACAGAGGUAUAUCACUGUUAAUGAUAUUAUUGAAACAAAUCCAGAUAAA